UGCCGCGCCCACAGCCGCCAGAGUGUGGGUUCUGCGAGUCAAGCCACGCCUGGUGGCAAGAAUGCUUGGCCUUCAGUGUCAGCCAGGACGGUAAACACAUCUCCCUAAUGUUUCCCAGACCAGUUCGGGCCAUUUUGGGUGCUCGAGUACAACACCUCACACAAAUGACCGCGUCUUGAGGAAAAACCCGAGAGAUUAGCCCAAGUCUGCCAGUCAGCAAAAACACAUGGUUUAACCUCUGAUUUAUUCAUGCGAAGUCAGCUUACCCUGAGUAGCAAAAAAAAAAAAAAAAGAAGAAGAAAAAAGAAACGAAGAAAACCUCCUAAUUCUCAAGUGGAGAAUUAAGAAGAAAGGAAGAAGGAAAGAGGACCACAUUGCAGAGUUUUUUGCAGGGAAGGGGCAGUCGUUGAAAAAAAAAAAAGCGCUGCUACAGUAUGUGAAAACAUUGGAUGGGAAAGGGAUGAAGGGGGAAUUCUAAGAAGUCUCAUGGGAAACUAAAUGUUUCUAUAGUGUUCAAAAUGUACAAAUAAAGUGU